GGGGAUAUGGCGAAAUCGGUAGACGCUACGGACUUAAUUGAAUUGAGCCUUGGUAUGGAAACCCACUAAGUGAUAACUUUCAAAUUCAGAGAAACCCUGGAAUUAAUAAAAAGGGGCAAUUCUGAGCCAAAUCCUAUUUUCCGAAACCAAAGGUGAAAAAGGGAUAGGUGCAGAGACUCAACGGAAGCUGUUCUAACAAAUGGAGUUGGCUGCAUUAGUAGAGAAAUCUUUCCAUCGAAAAUUCCGAAAGUAUAAAGUGAAGGAUAAACGUAUAUAUACGUAUUGAAUACUAUAUCAAAUGAUUAAUGACGACUCGACUGAAUCUGUAUUUUUUAUAUGAAAACGGAAGAGAAUAGAUUCCACAUUGAAGAAAGAAUCGAAUAUUCAUUGAUCAAAUGAUUCACUCCAUAGUCUGAUAGAUCUUUUCAAGAAUUGAUUAAUCGGACGAGAAUAAAGAUAGAGUCCCGUUCUACAUGUCAAUGUCGGCAACAAUGAAAUUUAUAGUAAGAGGAAAAUCCGUCGACUUUAAAAAUCGUGAGGGUUCAAGUCCCUCUAUCCCCAA
rnacentral:ncRNA from 1 species